rnacentral:rRNA from 1 species
GCGGGGAAAUGCGUAGAUAUCGAGAGGAACACCUGCGGCGAAGGCGGGUUGCUGGGCUGACACUGACGCUGAGGCGCGAAAGCUAGGGGAGCGAACGGGAUUAGAUACCCCGGUAGUCCUAGCCUUAAACGAUGAAUGCUUGGUGUCUGGGGUUUUAUAGUCCCCGGGUGCCGUCGCUAACGCUUUAAGCAUUCCGCCUGGGGAGUACGGUCGCAAGACUGAAACUCAAAGGAAUUGACGG